UUAGCAUGGAAUAAUAAAAUAGGACGUGUGGUUCUAUUUUGUUGGUUUCUAGGACCGCCGUAAUGAUUAAUAGGGACAGUCGGGGGCAUCAGUAUUCAAUUGUCAGAGGUGAAAUUCUUGGAUCUAUUGAAGACUAACUACUGCGAAAGCAUUUGCCAAGGAUGUUUUCAUUGAUAAGGAACGAAAGUUAGGGGAUCGAAGACGAUCAGAUACCGUCGUAGUCUUAACUAUAAACUAUGCCGACUAGGGAUCGGACGAUGUUAUCUUUUGACUCGUUCGGCACCUUUCGAGAAAUCAAAGUGCUUGGGCUCCAGGGGGAGUAUGGUCGCAAGGCUGAAACUUAAAGAAAUUGACGGAAGGGCACCACCAGGGGUGGAACCUGCGGCUUAAUUUGACUCAACACGGGGAGACUCACCAGGUCCAGACACAGUGAGGAUUGACAGAUUGAUAGCUCUUUCUUGAUUCUGUGGGUGGUGGUGCAUGGCCGUUCUUAGUUGGUGGAGUGAUUUGUCUGCUUAAUUGCGAUAACGAACGAGACCUUAACCUGCUAAAUAGCCCUUAUUGCUUCGGCAGUAUGCUGGCUUCUUAGAGGGACUAUCGGCUCAAGCCGAUGGAAGUUUGAGGCAAUAACAGGUUUGUGAUGCCCUUAGAUGUCCUGGGCCGCACGCGCGUUACACUGACAAAGCCAGCGAGUAUUUCCUUGGCCGGAAGGCCCGGGUAAUCUUGUUAAACUUUGUCGUGCUGGGGAUAGAGCAUUGCAAU
rnacentral:rRNA from 1 species